rnacentral:rRNA from 1 species
UAAAACCAGCUCUUCGAGUGGUGUCCAUGUUUAUUGAGCUUAAAGCGUUCGUAGCCUGUUUUGUAGAUCCCUGCUUAAAUCCGGCCGCCCAACGGUCGGUCUGGUAGGGAUACCGCAUUACUUGGGGACGGGAGACGGCAACGGUAUUCCGUAGGUAAGGGUGAAAUCUAAUGAUCUACGGAGGACCACCAGUGGCGAAGGCGGUUGUCGAGAACGUGCCCGACGGUGAGGGACGAAACCCAGGGGAGCAAAUCGGAUUAGAUACCCGAGUAGUCCUGGGCGUAAACGAUGUCCGUUAAGUGUUGCAUUGGCCACGAGCCACUGCAGUGCUGUAGCGAAAGCGAUAAACGGACCGCUUGGGAAGUACGGUCGCAAGACUG